rnacentral:rRNA from 1 species
AUACGGAGGGUGCAAGCGUUAAUCGGAAUUACUGGGCGUAAAGGGCGCGUAGGUGGUUUGAUAAGUCAGAUGUGAAAUCCCUGGGCUUAACCUGGGAAUUGCAUUUGAUACUGUCAGACUAGAGUGUGGUAGAGGUAAGCGGAAUUCCCGGUGUAGCGGUGAAAUGCGUAGAUAUCGGGAAGAACAUCAGUGGCGAAGGCGGCUUACUGGAUCAACACUGACACUGAGGCGCGAAAGCGUGGGUAGCAAACAGGAUUAGAUACCCCUGUAGUCC